rnacentral:lncRNA from 1 species
GACUCACACACGAAUAAGGAAAGGAUCUGACCCACAGGCAGGUCGGCGGCUGCCUCUCCCGGUUGUGCUUGAGGACUAGGCUUCGUCCGGCUACUCCUGUCCCCAUCAUCCCACUUUCCCACCACAUCUGGACCAAACUUGAAAACAAGAGGGCUGUAUGCCCCUCAGCUAAGGCUCCUCCAUAGGGCCCGGAAGAAGGUUGCAUUUCCUGCACCCCCCUGUGGAGCAGUUGGUUCUCUGCAUUUCCCCAUUCAUGCUGCACAUCAUUACAUCACAGAAACUGACGCUGCAUCUUUCAGAGUGAGCAUUUUUGCAGCGCCUGAAAUGCCGCCACCACCAUGGCCUUUUCUGGAGUGAAUGUGGCACACCCACAGAGGGAGAGCCUCCGACGCACUCUUCCUCUGCCCCAACCUGUCUGUCCCCUUACUUGCUUUCCUGUCUCUAUCUGGCGUGGGAGUGACGUCUCCUCUCUUCACCGCAGUGGCAAGCAAAGGGAGCUUCUAUACUACUACCCAAGAACGAUAUGCUCUCUCAGCUGGAGAAAAAGGUGGCUUUCUUUGGCAGGAUCAAGCCCAGCCUGGAUGCCUUUCAUUCCAUAAGGCCAGCUAGGUCUUCUCUUCCCAUUGUUCUCUGCUGCCACUCACAGGAGAGCCUCCCUUCCGUCUCUUCUUGGCGGGUAUCGGCAUUUCUUAUCUCUGUUUAGAUGGCCGCAGGGCACCGUCCUUUACUACAUUAUCAACAACUCUGAUUGUGGCAUAAUCUUGAGCAAAUAAGUGUGGUGCUGGAACAGAAGGAGAGUCAACAAACAAAGGAUAAUAGCCUGUGAUUUCAGUUCUCCGCUCUGUUGAUUUUCCCCAACCGCAGCCAAACAGGAAAAAAAGCAUUCCAGAGGUAUAUAUUCUCACUGAUCACUUGCUCCCAGCAAAGAUAUUGCAAGCACUGUUCCUAAAUUAGUGCAAAACCAGUCGUGCCAAGGCUGGUUCACAAGACUUUCCUCUCUUUUCUGGGAGAAACAGAUGAUGCCUCCCUGCUGGCCCGCCCAUCCCCCAAUGAGGCCAACAUGGGCACCAUAGGAAUAAGGCGAGCCUGCCUCAACAGCUUCUUAGAGAUGUUUCUUACUCCCAAGGAGAGCAGACGUCAGGGUGGCAGGAUCUAGUUUGUGGCUGGCAUCUUUUAAUUAGCAUUCCAAGUUCUACCAAGAGGGGAGACAACGUUAUGUCUGCACAUCUCAACAAGCCAUGGAUUGUGUUAGCUGUGAUUUGUUAUUCAGCCAUGAACUGCUCUGCAGACCUCCAAGUGUUUUCCCCAUUCCUGGUCUGUUUUUCCAACCACUUUUAGCCUCCCUUGAUUCAGGUAAAACAAGCCAGGAACAAGCUCUUGUCUUUUGCUUAAACAUAACAACAACAAGCCAUAGUUCAAAUAAGCCAUAGUUGUUGGACUAGCAACAAACCAUGGCUUCUAACUGUGUUUAACCACAAACCAUGGUUUGUUUGGGGAGAAAAAUGUAGGUACAACAAGCAAGAAUUCUUCAGUCAAGAAUUCAGUGUCAACAGGGUCAAACUGUUGCUGAUUAUUUAUAAAAUUUAAUGUAAUAAAACUCAAAAUGAAGAUGUCCUAAAGUCA